rnacentral:hammerhead_ribozyme from 1 species
ACCCAGCUGACGAGUCCUAAAUGGGACGAAAUGCGCGUCCUGGAU